rnacentral:lncRNA from 1 species
CUCAACUACGCCGAGUAAAACAAGAGGAAAAGCGGCUUCCUCUCCUUCCUCCGCGCAAACUUUUGGCACGGGCCUGGCGCUGUGUGUGUGGCGUUCUCCCCGUGCCGCGCUGACGCACGGGGCCGGCGGGCAGCGGCCGCGGUCGCUCCUGGCAACGGCGGCGCCAAUGGCAGCCGGGCGCUGCCGGGCGCUGCCAUGGCGAUCCCGCGGCUCGCCAUGGCGGCGGCGGGCCCCGUCCCGUCCCGUCCCUCACCUGUAAGGGAUCCAGUCCGCCUGGUGCCUCGAACUCAUCUCUCCACGGCGGCGGUGCCCGGAGCCGGGGGAGUCUCAAAACGGUUGGUGAUGGAAGACACCUUUGGAGAUCAUCUUGCCCAGCCCCUCUGCCUAGAGCUGUGCCAGCUACAGCAGGUUUCUCAAGGCCAUGGUCAGGUAAGUGUUGAUUAUCUCCAAGAAUGGAGACUCUCCAACAUUUCUGAGCAACUUGGGCCACUGUUUAACUGUCCUCAUAAUGAAGAGGUGUUGUCUUAUGUCUGAAUGGAAUUUCCUGUAUAUCAAUGUGUCUUUUACUUGUGUUGUUUCCUCUGAGCUAAGUCACAUUAUUUUGCAUUCAACCAACAAGAGGGGAACGACUGUAGCUCCCUUUGUCAUCAUGACAAAUCCAAAGGACCUUGAGGUGUCCUUGCAGUACAAAAACAGGCUCUGUUAACUCAGACUGGGAGAACCAUCCUGAAAUUCUUGUAAGCUGUUAGCAAAUGGUAACAUGUCUUAGCCUGCUGAAAAGAUAAAACCCAAACUGUUUCUUUGCAUCAAAUAGUCUUUCCUUUGCAGUAUGGUGAGUAGGCAACUGUACUUAAUACUGCAAAGCCUCAGGAUUAAUCUGAAGCUAAGUACAUCCUUCAUAGCUAUUCCGUAAAACUGUCUACCCCAGCUGAGCAUACAGUUUUCAAUGUACAUGCUUAGCUUUUGGGGAACUAAACAACAACAAAAACGGUUUUAAAAAUCCUGCCUAAUCUCAGAAAUAAUUGCAACCCACAGACGUUUCAAACUGAGACAUGACUUAUGUGCCUUUAAAAGCUGUUAGCUUCACCUGACAAUGAGCCAGAAAAUUAAAAUGCUCCCAGCAGAACUUGUGAGUAGAACCAGAAACACUUUGCCAUAGGUGUUCAUUUGGAUCAUGAUAAUGACCUCCUUUUAUACUCUCUAGAUUUCUUCUUCCAUCUAACAUGUAUACUGAAAGAAGUCAGUUUAUUUAGGAAAAAAAUGAGCCAUGGGCUCUGAAAAAAAAGUUAACGUUCCAUUACACUGUAACACAGAAUUGCAAUCAAAUUAAAAUGAGGUUGAAUUCACUGUACAAGCAAAAUUAUUUGAAUGAUUUUGUCCAGAGCCAGAGCAGCUAGAAAAGUGGGAGACUAGCUUUGCAAUAAUUGAGCAUUUUGAUAAUUAGAAAACAUGCUAAUGUUUAGAAAGCAUCUUCAAGGUCUUCAGAUGAUGUUUAAGAUCAAAUAGUAUUAAGUUACUCUUUUCAGUUGCUUUCUUUAAAAAGGUAUUGCUAGUGAAACUUUGCACAAGGAACAAGAAUAACUACUGAAAUUGUUUUUCUACUCUCUUCCCAGUACAAUGGGUUAAAUAUAUUUGAGCAUGCAAUAGAAAUACCCAGCUGUCAUUCAGAAUUAAUGCUACUUACUAGCUUGAUUUACUGCAAUCAUCUACACUCUUGGAAAUAUAUAACAUUAUUUGUAAUAUGACUGCUUUACACCAUCGUUAUAAUACAAUACAAUAAAAUGUUGCGUUCACAUUAGAGAUGAUAACCU